AGGGUCGGACGGUAUAUUUGAUCGAUAAAUCCGCGGUCACACUGAUCUCAAUUGCGGAACAUAAGGCCGUUUUGAAGCCCAACUGUGGCCCACAACUCCGCCCUGCCUCAGCCAGACCACCAGAUCGGCCAGGUGGAUCUUAGCCGACCAGAUCUUAGCCCGAAUCUGAAGAAAACCAAGCUGGAUGAGGCCUCGACGGCGGGGUUGAUGCAAGCACAUAAACGGAUCAGGGCGUGGUGUCUAUGAUGAGCUUCCAUCUGCGUCGCAAAAAGGGACUGGAACAAACCCUGGCGGCCAAGCUUACACCAAAGGCGUACGUCAAGGAGACUCAUGCCGUGCCCGGGCUGCCGGAGCUGCUGGAUCCUGCAUUCCCAACAAGACACGUCUGGACAGAUUAUGCGCCACUACGGCAGUGCAAGGGCAUCCGCCAGUUGCAGGCUUUGUACGUGUCCCACCUGCACGCGGAUCAUCACAUUGGAUUGAUUGGACUGCUGAAGGAGCGCAGAUAGCUGGCCCCGAAGGAAACUCGCUGCUCUUACUUGCGCCGCGGCAGAUCGAGCCAUGGAUGGAGUUCUAACAAGGAUAGCUCUUGGCGAGACUCCUGACUGGAGAGGCAGUGGCACCAUUGGGCAUAACUGCCGCCACUGCCAAGUCACCAGUAGGAACUGCCAAGCCGCCAGUGCGAACAGCUGCUUAAAAUCUUGCGAGACGCUUGGCGAUGCUGUGGAUGAUCGAGUUCAGCCCAACAAUCAACCUUUGCGGAAUGAGAGGAGCAGCAGCAAGGCAAGAAGGUGAGUUCUGGGUGAAAACUUGUCUCAUUGUCCUAUGCAGGAUGCCGAUCAGGAUUUGUACUAAAACCAGGACAGUUCGGCUAACUCGUCGCAGUCCUCGGUGGGCAUUGAUGACUAUUGGGAUGAGGCUCUGGUCGGCGACUAUGGAAGCACUCAGAAUGAUGACAGCGAUGACUUGGAUGGUCACAACAACUAGCCACCUAUCGAUGGGCCAAGGAAAAGAACCCGGCCGCAACGAGUUGCGUUACUAUUGGCGAUCAUGAGGUCAUGGACUGCAAAGAACAAUUCGACAAGCAGCAACAUUACUUGGGCCGAGCAGGGCAGUAAAUGUAAAAGUUGUACAGCACUAUCUUUAAAGCGUGCUCCGGCGGUCUUAAGCCUUCUGCACCAUGUUUUACAUCAUCGGUUUCGACCGGGAGCGCAGACAGCUGGCCCCGAAGGAAACUCGCUGCUCUUACUUGCGCCGCGGCAGAUCGAGCCAUGGAUGGAGUUCUAACACGGAUAGCUCUUGGCGAGACUCCUGACUGCAGAGGCAGUGGCACCAUUGGGCGUAACUGCCGCCACUGCCAAGUCACCAGUAGGAACUGCGAAGCCGCCAGUACGAACAGCUGCUUAAAAUCUUGCGAGACGCUUGGCGAUGCUGUGGAUGAUCAAGUUCAGCCCAACAAUCAACAGUUGCGGAAUGAGAGGAGCAGCAACAGGACAAGAAGGAUGCCGAUCAGGAUUUCUACUAAAACCAGGACAGUUCGGCUAACUCGUCGCAGUCCUCGGUGGGCAUUGAUGACUAUUGGGAUGAAGCUCUGGUCGGCGACUAUGGAAGCACUCAGAAUGAUGACAGCGAUGACUUGGACGGGCACAACAACUAGCCACCUAUCGAUGGGCAGCAAGGAGAAGAACCCGGCCGCAACGAGUUGCGUUACUAUUGGCGAUCAUGAGGUCAUGGACUGCAAAGAACAAUUCGACAAGCAGCAACAUUACUUGGGCCGAGCAGGGCAGUAAAUGUGAAAGUUGUACAGCACUAUCUUAAAAGCGUGCUCCGGCGGUCUUAAGCCUUCUGCACCAUGUUUUACAUCAUCGGUUUCGACCGGAUCCAGUGGCCUAAAAAGUGCUAUAGAGCGAUCCUCUCUUACCCCACCAGGAGGUCACCCCCUCCGGUGGCCAUGAAUACCUUUUGCAUGACCGCGAAUACCGAAUUACCCACCAUCGUUUAACUGGGGCUUCACACUUCAGGUCCUCCGGUUUAGCUGAACGAGUGGGCGCUCGAUGGCGGCUGUCCACUCCAGGCGCCUACCGGCUGACAUCGCGAGCUCCCCACCGGCUCUUGGGACAUGACUUACAUCGCGCGAGCUGUGGCCUCUAGCCUGGACGACCUUUGGGUCCUCUCGGGAUGUGUAAGGGAUGUGCUCCUGGCUGGACUGUGGCAGGCACUGUCUGUCCUCCUGCGGGCCAAAGCCAUGAUGCCACUACUGUGUCGCUGAAUCGACAAUGUGGCGUCCCGUCCGCUGCAGCAGGGACCACUGAUCGACUUCAGAAUUGUGGGUUCACGCCCACGGUAAUCAAACGCUGGUCUUCAGCCUCGAGGCGCAGGGCUUAUGUACCAUAUCCAAGCAUUGCCGAAUCGUAUCCCAGCAGGACAAAAGCGCACCCCUUGGAAGAGCCCAAAUCUAACAAGCCGACGUCACAUUUCGACCUGGCCAUUGAAAACUAUCUCAAGGACUUUGGCUAUGGCAACCAAGGGAGGGAUACGCGGACUACCAGACUAUAGAUAGAUCUCGUUGUUAAUAGGUUUAAGGAUACACACGUCUGUACAUUUAGAUAGUAGAUAUAAAUAUUUCCAAAUUGUUAAUUUCUUUAUAGUAAGUUAACGUUAUUAUGAAUAAAACUAUUGAAAAAUUA
rnacentral:sRNA from 1 species